GAAAUUGCACCAAAUCAGUGUGGAUGUUUAUUCAGACCACAGUACUACUAACCUGCGUCAUGAGUUUAACGAGCAGCGCCACCUUGUGUGAAGUGCGCUGUGAGACAGAAGACGUGGCAUCUUUGAAAGACUACUGGAGAAGUAAACACAGCUCAGAUACAUUUACUGGUUUUGUCCAGUCACUGUUGAAAUCUCUUCAGGCGUUUCCGUCCCUGUCAGGACUUUACGAGAAUGUCUUAUAUGUAAUAAGGACCUAUGACGAUUGCAUGACCACGUGUGAAAUUCCACAUAGUAAAAAACGCGGACGUUUACAGCAUUUACCGUCUCAGGAUGCUUUCUUCAGAAUUUUUGAAUUAAAAUCUCGUUCGAUUGGGAGGAGAUGACGUCACUGGAGUCCCAUUCUCUAAGGGAAUUUUUGGGCUCUCCCAGAGAAUGUUAAUAAAAAUCAGACGAAGCAGUAGCUGACCCAGAUAUUCAGUAACACAAGUUUUGAUUGGACAAGUUGGAAAUCCACCGCUUUCUAUAAAAGAUUCACUGGCGUUUUUUCAUCAAUUGACAAUUUAUCCAAGAUACCAUCACCAUAGAAACGUGAACAGUCAGUUUAUGAUGUGCCUGUAAACAGAGAAAUUGAAGGCACAGCGAUUGUAGUUUCAGUAGAGAAAAACCAUGAAUAUACCGCGUCAAGAAUGAUUUUUCAUUUAAAACAUAAAACUGAGAGAGGGCUCUUUGACACAAUCGCCUGUAUCAGAAAUAGGAAGACAACUUUGGAGGAUGAUAAAUAGGCCUUUUUGGUUUGGAAAACACAUCCACAAAUAACGUCACAUAAAGGUGUAACCACGUAGACCCCAAGAACGGCCGAGUAGACGGGGCUCUCACUUCCGUUACAAAGAAUAGCAAAAGAAAGCCAUUUCUCACAUAGCUGACGUCAUUUCCUGGAUGUCUUUUCAAAACCAAAAAUGUUGAUUUAAUUCAAACACUGACGUUUCAUUUUUUUCUGAUUGUUCAAAUUUUAUGGCAUCGUUAUAAGGUAUGAAGGAAACUUAAAAAUUGAAUGCGAAAUUUUUACUGUUUAUGUUAAUUGAAUGAUACUAAACAUGACAUUUAGCUUGUUUUUCUUAUACAUUGGUCAUGUGCAAUUGUUUCUCAUUUUCUUAGACAACAUGCCUUAUUUUAC